rnacentral:rRNA from 1 species
GAUGAACGCUGGCGGCGUGCCUAAUACAUGCAAGUCGAGCGAACAGACGAGGAGCUUGUUCCUCUGACGUUAGCGGCGGACGGGUGAGUAACACGUGGAUAACCUACCUAUAUGACUGGGAUAACUUCGGGAAACCGGAGCUAAUACCGGAUAAUAUAUUGAACCGCAUGGUUCAAUAGUGAAAGACGGUUUUGCUGUUACUUUUAGAUGGAUCCGCGCCGCAUUAGCUAGUUGGUAAGGUAACGGCUUACCAAGGCAACGAUGCGUAGCCGACCUGAGAGGGGGAUCGGCCACACUGGAACGGAGACACGGUCCAGACUCCUACGGGAGGCAGCAGUAGGGAAGCUUCCGCAAUGGGCGAAAGCCGGACGGAGCAACGCCGCGUGAGUGAUGAAGGUCUUCGGAUCGUAAAACACUGUUAUUAGGGAAGAACAAAAGUGUAAGUAGCUAUGCACGUCGUGACGGUACCUAAACAGAAAGCCACGGCUAACUACGUG